UACGUAGGGGCAAGCGUUGUCCGGAAUUAUUGGGCGUAAAGGGCGCGUAGGCGGCCUGCUAAGUCGAACGUGAAAUCCCCGGGCUCAACCCGGGAACUGCGUCCGAUACUGGCAGGCUUGAAUCCGGGAGAGGGAUGUGGAAUUCCAGGUGUAGGCGGUGAAAUGCGUAGAUAUCUGGAGGAACACCGGUGGCGAAGGCGGCAUCCUGGACCGGUAUUGACGCUGAUGCGCGAAAGCCAGGGGAGCAAACGGG
rnacentral:rRNA from 1 species